UACAGAGAGUGCAAGCGUUAAUCGGAAUUACUGGGCGUAAAGCGUGCGUAGACGGUUAUGUAAGUCAGAUGUGAAAGCCCCGGGCUCAACCUGGGAAUUGCAUUUGAGACUGUGUAGCUAGGGUGCGGAAGAGGGAAGCGGAAUUUCCGGUGUAGCGGUGAAAUGCGUAGAUAUCGGAAGGAACACCAGUGGCGAAAGCGGCUUCCUGGUCCAGCACCGACGUCAGGCACGAAAGCGUGGGGAGCAAACAGG
rnacentral:rRNA from 1 species